rnacentral:lncRNA from 1 species
GCUAAAGUUGGGGGAGGGCAUCUUAGGCCAGAAGAAUAACAAGACACCAGUGGUGGAAAUGGAAAACAUGUAGUGAAGAUAGCACAUGGAGCCUGAACGGGGAAGUCUUACAAGACAGGGUUGGAAUGCAAUGGUGCGAUCUCAGCUCAACGCGACCUCUGCCUCCCGGGUUCAAGCGAUUCUCCUGCCUCAGCCUCCCGAGUAGCUGGGACCACAGACCAGAGUGAAGACAAAUGUGUAUUACUUGGUAGCUUAUGAACAGCAAGGAAAAACUGACUGGCAACCGCCAUGGAAAGGUGUGAAACCGUAACCACGAGGACUCUCACAUUUACAUGUUACUGACUAGCGAAUGUCUAGGCCUAAAACAUCUGCCCUCUUAUAGCUGUUUUAUUAUUAUGUAAACAUGGCUACAAGAUUUCUGACAUAAAAUAGUAGAUGACUCAGUGUCUUCAAAUGAUUAAUUGCUGGUUUUUUUGCCUGACCUCUUUCUUCAUUUCUUCAAUAAUAAAUCUAUUGUCAUGC